CAUUACUGAAGAAAUGCGUAGUUAGUUGAGCUGACUCCCUUAGGGGGAGUAUGUGCUCGCUAUAUCGCUUUUUCUAACUCUCUCCACUGUGCACCCUAUUGUAGGCUAUGAUAAGGUUCAGAAAGCUUUCAUGCAUUCAUUCAUUAUGUUUGUUUGUUUGCUUUCAACUUUGUAGCCUAUGUCUUACACAAACUCUUUGAUAGUCUUAUGAAUGUGUGUAUCCGAAUUGGUCUUUGUGAUCAAUACAAGUCAUAUAUAUAUAUACAACUUUCAGCAACGGAUCUCUUGGCUCUCGCAUCGAUGAAGAACGCAGCGAAAUGCGAUAAGUAAUGUGAAUUGCAGAAUUCAGUGAAUCAUCGAAUCUUUGAACGCACCUUGCACUCCUUGGGUAUUCCGAGGAGUAUGCCUGUUUGAGUGUCAUUAUAUUCUCAAAAACCUAGGUGUUCUCUGAAUGACUAGGCUUUUUGGAUGUGAGGGAUUGCUGGCUUUCUAUCGAGUCCGGCUCCCUUCAUAUGUAUUAGUGGUUGCUUCAUUCACUAGAGUGUGAUAGUAUAUCUACGCUUGUUACAGUGAACUUGAAUAUAAAUCAUCUGCUUUCCAACUGUCUUGAAACAUACCAGGACAUAUUUUGACUAUUUGACCUCAAAUCAGGUAGGACUACCCGCUGAACUUAAGCAUAUCAAUAAGCGGAGGAAAAGAAACUAACAAGGAUUCCCCUAAUAACUGC
rnacentral:sRNA from 1 species